UUUGUGGACCGCGUAAAAGCUUUGAAUCCACCUCUUAACGCUUGCACUACUCCAGAAAUGCGCAGAGCUAGACUUGGGGAUACCUUUCCGGCCAAAAAGCUGAAGGGUAACAUUGCUGCAAGUUUAAUACCAAAAACAGUACAGGAAACAGGACACCAGAACGGAAUGGGUUUGCAGAGGUUAAAUUUCGGAAAAAGCAAAAAAGUAGGAAAACACACGGACAGUCUUUCCACGCAUCAAAGAGCAGGCGCGCUAAGCAUGGACUUGUUGGUUGCCUUGCAGAUAUUACCGGGCUUUUUCUCCAACUGUCUGUUCCUGGCGCUCUAUGACUCGGUGGUCCUCCUGAAGCGUGUGAUGUCACUUCUCAUCUUCUCCAGAUCCGCAGCCUGUGGUGAGUGGCAGCGCAUGCUGACUUCAGCAGGUCUACGCUCGAUAUGGAACAGUUUCCUACUGGACGCCUAUAAGCAGGUGAAGCUUGGCGGUGAGGCUCCCAACUCCAAGGUGGUGAAGGUGCCCUCUGUCCGAGGCCGGAGACGGAGUCCCAGGAACAAGGCGGGCGAUGAGUGCCACCUGUUGGAUUUCGAGUCCUUCGACCGCCCCCUGGUGGUCAACUUCGGCUCGGCCACCUGACCCCCCUUCAUCAGCCAGCUUCCCGCCUUCCGUGGGCUGGUGGAGGACUUUGCGGACGUGGCUGACUUCCUGCUGGUGUACGUGGACGAGGCGCACCCUUCGGACGGCUGGGCGGGGCCGGUGGGCGGGCCACGCCUGUUUCAGGUGAGGCAGCACCGGAGCCUGGAGGAACGGGUGCUGGCGGCUCGGAGGCUGUUGGAACACUUCGCCAUUCCCCCGCCGUGCCAGCUGGUCACCGACUGCAUGGACAACAAUGCCAACGCAGCCUACGGCGUCUCCUUCGAGAGGGUCUGCAUCGUCCAGAAGAGGAGGGUCGCCUACCUGGGGGGGAAGGGCCCGUUCUUUUACAACCUGGGAGAUGUUCGGCAGUGGCUCGAGCAGAACUAUGGACCGAGGUAGAGCAGGGAGGAACAGGGAGGAAAAAAUAGUUGUCUUAUUCCACAGGCUGGGGGAGGGAGGAAUCUAUUUUAGGACCAUGGAAAUGGAUUGCUAAAGCAGGUAUGGCGUGAAACGUUUUGAAAAACUUCCUCGUCAAAGCACCGUUGACCCCUUUCUGGCAAGGUUUCAGUCAGACUAAUCCAGCAGCUUUCUACUUGGAGGAAAGUCCACUCUGGAAUCGGCUUGACUGAUAGAUGAAACGGACAAGCUUUCAGCGCGCGGAAACCUCCGGAACUCUCCCCGCAAGGUUGCCACGCCGACAGAACGUGAAAAAUACACCCGUCAGCCUAGAUAAACCCAUUGCCCUGUGUGAAUGGAACCCAGAUUUACUGAACACAAGUGGAAACACAAGGAGCCAGCUUUAAAAAAAGAAAAAAAAAGUGGUGAUCUCUAAGUGGACAUGUUGCUAGGUUCUGAGGUGUCAGAGUUCCCCAAGGCCUGUGGAGAACUCCAGCCUCAGGGAACACGCGAGGGGGUGGGCAUGCUGCCAGGUAGAAUGGAAGCUUCCGGGUCAUCUGGGGAUCUGAGCCCAUUCACAAUUCACCCAUUUUCCUGUUCUUGGAAAGCAUAAGCACAGUGAAGUGAGGACACAGUGAGUGUAUUUGUGCGUGUUUGUGUGAAUCUGUGUGUGUGUUUGUGAGUGUGUGCGUGUGUGUGUGUCUGUUUCAGACCUGGGUGAAAUACGUGAUUGUUUUGGAUUCAAAUACUUUCAUGUGAUCUGAGGUUCUAACACACCAGACAAGUUCAGUACAGCAUAGAAAAGUAUUUGAAUCCAAAAAAUUACGCAUUUGACCAUGGUCUGGUGUGUUUGUGUGUGCGCACAUGUGUUUCUGUGUGUGCAUGUGCAAUUAAUAAUUCUUAAGGGGAAACUUCUCAUACGGCAACAUUGUUGUGUGUGUUGUGUGCUGUUUUGAAUGUUGAUAUGUCUGUUUGUAUCAUUAUUUCCAGCUCUAAGUGGACAUGUUGCUAGGUUGUGAGGUGUCAGAGUUCCCCAAGGCCUGUGGAGAACUCCAGCCUCAGGGAACACGCGAGGGGGUGGGCAUGCUGCCAGGUAGAAUGGAAGCUUCCGGGUCAUCUGGGGAUCUGAGCCCAUUCACAAUUCACCUAUUUUCCUGUUCUUGGAAAGCAUAUGCAAAGUGAAGUGGGGACAUGGACAGUGUCAGGAGAGGACGAGGAGCUUUAUUCACACUCAGCUUCACAAAGCGGUGUGCCUGAACCCACAUCUAUGGAGAGGGGAGCUCACAGAGAGUGUUUUACUCUGACUGAGGUAAACAGGCAGUGGGUGGAAUCUUAAGUAGCUGGCCAGGAAGUGAUCUCAGCUUUGGCAAAGGGAAAGUGUUUAUUCCAGGAGUUGGGUCUCAGUACUAUAUAAAUAAACAAGUACAUUGAAAUGAUGUGCAGUUCCUGAAAAUGAAAUGUGGCUAUAUUGUUAGCUAGAUAGAUAGAUAAAUAGAUAGAUAGAUAAAACACCACCAUUUCCUCUAUAAUUGUAUAUUUGUCACACUGAAUGGUUUAAUAUCUUUAGACAACAUUUAAUGUUAGACAAAGGGAACCUGAGUAAACAUAUUUUUUACAUUAGUGUUUCAUUUAAUUAAAAAGUUAUCGGACACCCAUAUCACCCCUGUGAAAAAGUAAUUGCCCCCUUAACCUUUUCAAUUGUACUGCCUUUUGCAGCAAUAAUUGCCACCAAACACUUCUUAUAAUCUGAUAUUAGUCUUUCACGUUACUGUGGAGGAAUUUUAGUCCACUGUUGCAUAACAGGUUUCAUUCAGAUAAAUUGGUAGGUUUUUGAACACAAACUAUUCGUUUCAGAUUGUGCCACAGCACCUCUAUUGGGUUUACUUAAAGACUUAGUUUAGGCCACUCCAAAGCCAUUUCUAAGGCUCUGGGACUCCACAGUGAGAGCCAUUAUCUUCAAAUGGAGAAUUCUCUCUCCAAGGGUGCAGCAACAACUCAUCCAGGAAGUCACACAAGUCCCCAGAAAAACAUCCAAAGAACUGCAGUGCAGGCAAAAAUUUGAAUCAUGAGAGAGUAGCAAAUCUAAUGAUCUGAAACCAUUCAGUGUGACACAUAUGCAAUAAUAAAGGGAAUCAGGAAGGGGGGAAAUACUUUUUCAUGGCACUGUACCUUCAAUCUGACUGAAUCUUACAUUUUGGUUGCUACUGCCCUCUCUCACCGAAGAGCAGUUUCAAACUGUUGCAUAAAACCCCCUGUUUAAUUGUAUUUCCUUUCCACAUAAAAUAAUAGAGUUUAGAGAAUACAGUAUAUAAUUUUUUAUCAUUUAUGCAUCUAUAAUUUGUAAAUGCAUAAAGUACUGAGAUACCAACACAUUGGGAAUAGAGGUUGUUCAGAAGACUUUAAAUGCAAUGACUAAAUAAACAUGUUUUUUUAUGAGUC